AUUGAACGCUGGCGGCAGGCCUAACACAUGCAAGUCGAACGAGUGGCGGACGGGUGAGUAAUGCCUGGGAAACUGCCUGAUGGAGGGGGAUAACUACUGGAAACGGUAGCUAAUACCGCAUACCAUCAGAUGGGCCCAGAUGGGAUUAGUUAGUUGGUGGGGUAAAGGCUCACCAAGGCGACGAUCCCUAGCUGGUCUGAGAGGAUGACCAGCCACACUGGAACUAAGACACGGUCCAGACUCCUACGGGAGGCAGCGGUGGGGAAUAUUGCACAAGGGGCGCAAUCCUGAUGCAGCCAUGCCGCGUGUAUGAGGAAGGCCUUGGGGUUGUAAAGUACGUUCAGCGGGGAGGCGUUACCCGCAGAAGAAGCACCGGCUAACUCCGUGCCAGCAGCCGCGGUAAUUC
rnacentral:rRNA from 1 species